UACAGAGGGUGCAAGCGUUAAUCGGAAUUACUGGGCGUAAAGCGUGCGUAGACGGUUGCGUAAGUCAGAUGUGAAAGCCCCGGGCUCAACCUGGGAAUUGCGAUGGAGACUGCAAGGCUAGAAUCUGGCAGAGGGGGUAGAAUUCCACGUGUAGCAGUGAAAUGCGUAGAGAUGUGGAGGAACACCGAUGGCGAAGGCAGCCCCCUGGGUCAAGAUUGACGCUCAUGCACGAAAGCGUGGGGAGCAAACAGG
rnacentral:rRNA from 1 species